rnacentral:ncRNA from 1 species
UCUGUACAUAACAAUAUUAUAUCCAAGAGAAUAUAGUUGCUCCCUAUAUGGAAUAAAUUUUUAAGCAAUGUUAAGUGGUAUUGAUUUAGUGAUGCGACUGCGUUGCAGAGGUUGAAAUACUACAAAACAGGGAUAGCCGUGAGUCCCAAAGAAUAUUAAUUCUUUAAAAUUAAUCUUUUGAAGUUGAUAAAAAGUAUAUUUAUUACUUUUUAUACUUCAAAAGUUACGGCGCU